AGGAGAGGCUGAGGGAACUGGGAUUGUUUAGUCUGCGGAAGAGAAGAAUGAGGGGGGAUUUGAUAGCUGCUUUCAACUACCUGAAAGGGGGUUCCAAAGAGGAUGGAUCUAGACUGUUCUCAGUGGUAGCAGAUGACAGAACGAGGAGUAAUGGUCUCAAGUUGCAGUGCGGGAGGUUUAGGUUGGAUAUUAGGAAAAACUUUUUCACUAGGAGGGUGGUGAAACACUGGAAUGUGUUACCUAGGGAGGUGGUGGAAUCUCCUUCCUUAGAAGUUUUUAAGGUCAGGCUUGACAAAGCCCUGGCUGGGAUGAUUUAGUUGGGGAUUGGUCCUGCUUUGAGCAGGGGGUUGGACUAGAUGACCUCCUGAGGUCCCGUCCAACCCUGAUAUUCUAUGAUUCUGUUUUCCUUGUUGGGCCUGUUUUAUAGUAGGUGACUUCUGGGUACCCAUCUCGCUCUGUCAGUCUGUUUCCUCACUUCCACAGGUGGGUAUUGUAGUUUUAAGAAUGCUUGAUAAAGAUCUUGUAGGUGUUUGUCUCUGUCUGAUGGAUUAGAGCAAAAUCGGUUGUAUCUUAGGGCUUGGCUGUAGACAAUGUAUCUUGUGAUGUGUCCUGGAUAGCAGCUGGAGGCAUGUAGGUAAAUAUAGCAGUCAGUAGGUUUCUGGUAUAGGGUGGUGUUUAUGUGACCAUCACUUAUUUGUACUGUAGUGUCCAGGAAGUGGAUCUCUUGUGUGGACUGGUCCACCCUGAUUGAAUUGGCCCUGUCAGCACUGGUUCUCCACUUGUAAGGUAGCUCCCUUCUCUUCAUGUGUCAGUAUAUUUACACCUGCAUCUGUAAUUUUCACUCCAUGCAUCUGAAGAAGUGGGAUUUUUACCCACGAAAGCUUAUGCCCAAAUAAAUCUGUUAGUCUUUAAGGUGCCACCGGACUCCCCAUUGUUUUUUUGGAUACAGAUUAACACAGCUACCCCUCUGCUCCUUGGGAAGAACUCCCUGAUGGCUCCUAUCCUAGAUAACAUUAGGAGUGGAGUGGUGUGAUAUAUCCAUGGAUUCUAAAGGAAGCUAUGAGUCUAGGAAUGGGCUGCUGGGCACCCUCUCCCCUAUUUUCUUGCUUCUGGCUUUAGGAUUUUCUAGUUGGCCAGAAUUUGUCCCAGAUUUGUUGAGAGCUAUGCUUUUGACUUACUGCUUUCUGAAAAAUAUCAUAAUCUGUUUUAUUUCCUCUAACUCUUACAGAGUUUAUUGUGCAUUUUAAUUUUAAAUUUGUUUCACUUUUUUCUGACUACAGCUAUGUUCUGAAUAAUGUUACUAAAAGUGUAUUUUAAAAAUAAGUAAAUAAAAUGUAACAAGUGGUGCACCAAA